GCACAUGCUUGUCCAGGAGCAGGAGAACGUGAAGAGGGUGCAGCUUGCAGACAAGUACCUCAGUGAGGCUGCACUGGGUGAAGCCAACGACGACGCCAUGAAGACCGGGUCCUUCUACGCCAAGGCCACUUGAUUCUAGUAAUUAAGAAUGCCGUCACUAUAUAUGCAUGUUUGGAAAAUUCCGUACCUUUUUUGAUUCAUCGCCGCACAGGUAAACGAUUUGAAUUGUAAGUUUCUGAAUACAAAGAAAUGGAAUUGUAUAUGUGAAUUACUUGUUGGAACAUUAUCAUAUAUCUGGAAAUCCUCUGAGGCUUUCUUGAUUAGGUACCGUGGGGGUCAUAUAAUUGGACAGAGAUUGUGAUGCAAACGGCUGGAUUAUUGUUUCAAGAAGAAAGAUCAAUGGUCUAUACUAAACCCAAAAAUCAAUUAAUGAGACUUCCAGGGAAAUUGAUCUUGGCAGCUCAUACAUCAAAGCAUUGCAGAAAUGACAUGCUUAGCUGUUUUUUCUCAAAAAAGUACAGACAUGGCUACCUUAAUUUUAUCUUUUCCAUACUGAUGUUUUACCAAAGAUGCAAUGUAUGGAUGUCAUGCAAGUUCUUUUAUUUUUGCGGUAAUAAUGCGAAGUAUGAAGCACAAACGUACAACACCCAUGUGCCUUGAUGUCAACAGGGGCCGACUUAACUUGUGUGGUACCAAUUGACAGCCCUAGCUUGAUGGUUAUCAACAAACCAGCAAAUAUAAGCCAGCAACAUAUUUUGUGGUACUCGAACUAGGAUCCAAUCUCGGGUGCCUCAUCCAACAAGCAACAUAAGAGUUCAUUUUUGUGUGGUUAUGGAAUAGAAGACCCCAGCUUUCGGCUAGCUGAUGAUCAACAAGACACACUAUCUAUACACCGUGAGUCCGGGUGAAAAGAAACAAAAAUGAAAGGCAAGGAAAGAAGAAAGGAUUCUGAUCAGAGAAUGGCUAGAUCCUGUGGCUGUGGAAUGUUAUAGGAUUCGAGCCAGGAGAUAUCAUAUAGCUGAGCUGCAAGCUGCAGCGUUUGGUCUUCACAGUCCAAGUCAUCCAAACCAGCGGGGGCCAAGAUGCACCCGGCCAGAACCCAAUCUCCAGUGUGUGGCCUGUGGGGGAUCAAGAAGCUGAUCCACAAGCACGGGUGUGUGUGUGCCACCUCCCAGCAGCCUCCCACAGCAACAAGAUGGAUAUCCACGUGUAUUUAAGGCAUCUCAUACCUCUGCCUCUAUACUUUGAGCAGCAGCAGCCAUUACUUGAUCAUCUGAAAAAUCUUAAUCCAGAUCAGACCAAGCAGAGCAGAGAUGUCUGCUACCUUCUCGUCCACCGUCGGAGCUCCGGUGCGUACCACACAUCGAUUCAUCGGUCCACAGCUAUCUUUUCUUAAUGGUAUCAUGUCUUCAAUGGCGUCUUGUGUUGUGUCUACAGGCUUCUACGCCAACCAGCUUCCUUGGGAAGAAGCUCAAGAAGCAGGUGACCUCGGCCGUGAACUACCAUGGCAAGAGCACCAAGGCCAACAGAUUCACAGUCAUGGCCAAGGAGGUGGACGAGUCAAAGCAGACUGACCAGGACAGGUGGAAGGGCCUCGCCUACGAUAUCUCCGACGACCAGCAGGACAUCACCAGGGGGAAGGGUAUCGUCGACUCGCUCUUCCAGGCGCCCAUGGGCGACGGUACCCACGUGGCCGUCCUCAGCUCCCAAGAGUACAUCAGCCAGGGCCUAAGGAAGUACGACUUCGACAACACCAUGGGAGGCUUCUACAUCGCCCCAGCCUUCAUGGACAAGCUCGUCGUCCACCUCUCCAAGAACUUCAUGACCCUGCCCAACAUCAAGGUACGCAGCCAGCACAUGAUCAAUUCAUGACUAUUUAAUUUAAUUUAUUAGCAGUAAUACAAUUGAACAAAGCUGUUUGUGAAGCUUUACUGUAAUUUGGGUGCUAACGAAUCGAAAAUUCAGGUGCCACUCAUCUUGGGUAUCUGGGGAGGCAAGGGUCAAGGAAAAUCCUUCCAAUGUGAGCUUGUCUUCGCCAAGAUGGGCAUCAAGUAAGAACUGUUUGAAGUUACUUUCAUCUAUUGUUAAUUGCCAGCAACACAAAUAUCAUGUCUGCACCCGAAUUAAGCAAGUAGUAACAGAUGAUGAUGUGUGCUUGCUACAGCCCAAUCAUGAUGAGUGCCGGAGAGCUGGAGAGCGGAAACGCCGGAGAGCCAGCCAAGCUGAUCAGGCAGCGGUACCGUGAGGCCGCAGACUUGAUCAAGAAGGGUAAGAUGUGCUGCCUCUUCAUCAACGAUCUCGACGCUGGUGCGGGUCGGAUGGGCGGGACCACCCAGUACACUGUCAACAACCAGAUGGUUAACGCCACCCUGAUGAACAUCGCGGAUGCCCCCACCAACGUGCAGCUCCCUGGGAUGUACAACAAGGAGGAAAACCCCCGUGUGCCCAUCAUCGUCACUGGUAACGAUUUCUCCACGCUCUACGCGCCACUCAUCCGUGACGGUCGUAUGGAGAAGUUCUACUGGGCCCCCACCCGCGAAGACCGUAUCGGUGUAUGCAGGGGUAUCUUCCAAACUGACAACAUCAGCGACGAGUCCGUCAUCAAGAUCGUAGACACCUUCCCAGGCCAAUCCAUCGGUACGUUCCCUGCACUCCACCGAUAAUAGUAUGCAUACAUCAAUGCAAGAGUAGUAAUUAACAAAGGAAAUGCUGAUCCCAAAACAGACUUUUUCGGAGCGCUGCGUGCCCGGGUGUACGACGAUGAGGUGCGCAAGUGGGUCAGCUCAACCGGAAUAGAGAACAUCGGCAAGAAGCUGGUGAACUCGAAGGAUGGACCGGUGUCCUUUGAGCAGCCAAAGAUGACAAUCGAGAAGCUCCUGGAGUACGGCCACAUGCUCGUCCAAGAGCAGGACAAUGUCAAGCGUGUGCAGCUUGCUGACAAGUACAUGAGCGAGGCUGCUCUGGGAGAUGCUAACUCAGAUGCCAUGAAGACUGGUUCCUUCUACGGUUAGAACACUCUUCAUACACACACCAUCUCUAGCUGCAUAGGAGGAGGUGAACUACAAUCUUUUUUUUUCUAUUUUCAGUAUCUACUUUACAUAUACUUCAAACUUGUGUACUUCCAAAAUAAAAGGGAGUGAAUUAUAAGCGACAGCGAGAAAUUAUUCUUACCUGUUCUUCUGGCACAUCAAGCUGAUCUUCUCAUUGCAUUGUGCAAAACAACUAAAUUUCAGGUAAAGGAGCACAACAAGGUAAUUUGCCCGUCCCAGAAGGUUGCACUGACCGGAAUGCCGAGAAC
rnacentral:lncRNA from 1 species